GAUGAACGCUAGCGGGAGGCCUAACACAUGCAAGCCGAGCGGGAUUUGUUGGUUAGCUUGCUAACUAACAAUGAGAGCGGCGUACGGGUGCGUAGCACGUGUGCAACCUGCCUUUAUCUGGGGGAUAGCCUUUCGAAAGGAAGAUUAAUACCCCAUAACAUAUUGAUUGGCAUCAGUUAAUAUUGAAAGCUCCGGCGGAUAGAGAUGGGCACGCGUAAGAUUAGCUAGUUGGUGAGGUAACGGCCCACCAAGGCUGCGAUCUUUAGGGGGCCUGAGAGGGUGAUCCCCCACACUGGUACUGAGACACGGACCAGACUCCUACGGGAGGCAGCAGUGAGGAAUAUUGGACAAUGGGUGAGAGCCUGAUCCAGCCAUCCCGCGUGAAGGACUAAGGACCUAUGGUUUGUAAACUUCUUUUAUACAGGGAUAAACCUACUCUCGUGAGGGUAGCUGAAGGUACUGUAUGAAUAAGCACCGGCUAACUCCGUG
rnacentral:rRNA from 1 species